GUGGGAUGGUCUUCGAUCGGAUGCUCUCAACUCUAUUGCCAAACGAUGUCAAACGAACUGUGGAUAUCUUCACUAUCAAACGUGCACAACAAAAACAACACGAUCGAGCUUGCUUUUCCGGUCGACUGCAGAGACUGUCGAUGCCUAAUGGAGUAGAACGAGGAUUUCACUGAACGUGACUACUCCUCUUGUUGACCUUGGACUUGAAUUAUGGAAGCAACAGCCAGUGUAAACGAGGCUACUAGUACAAUAUCGGUAGAGAAGAAAAAGAGAAAGAGGGCAACCAAAAUGGUCUCACACAAUGAGAGGAGACUCGCAAUACGUGAUGGCUUACAAACAUCUUGG